UCCAGACUCCUACGGGAGGCAGCAGUGGGGAAUAUUGCACAAUGGGGGAAACCCUGAUGCAGCGACGCCGCGUGAAGGACGAAGUAUUUCGGUACGUAAACUUCUAUCAGCAGGGAAGAAAAUGACGGUACCUGACCAAGAAGCCCCGGCUAACUACGUGCCAGCAGCCGCGGUAAUACGUAGGGGGCAAGCGUUAUCCGGAUUUACUGGGUGUAAAGGGAGCGUAGACGGCCAUGCAAGUCUGAUGUGAAAACCCGGGGCUCAACCCCGGGACUGCAUUGGAAACUGUGCGGCUGGAGUGUCGGAGAGGCAAGUGGAAUUCCUAGUGUAGCGGUGAAAUGCGUAGAUAUACGGAGGAACACCAGUGGCGAAGGCGGCCUGCUGGACAUUAACUGACGCUGAGGCGCGAAAGCGUGGGGAGCAAACAGGAUUAGAUACCCGAGUAGA
rnacentral:rRNA from 1 species